CUUGGUGCCACAAAAAUGAUUUUAUUUUGAACCAGAAAGCAACAGCAAUCAAGACAAUAGUCAGGGCCGAGGGCUUGGCAGUGUGACUUAAGUACCAGGGAUUGAAUUUGUCCAGGUGCAAGGAGUGAUAUAAAGAGAAUCAACUUUUCAUGUCUAAGCCAAGCUCAUACAGAUGAUGAUACUUAUCAGUGAUUCCCAUUUACACAGGCUUGGAUUGCUUUUCAGAUAUCAGAUUUUUGUAACUAUUUUAUAAAUAUUUUUAAAGGUGAAGAAGCCACUGCAGUGUAGGUGAAUUGGCACCCCUCCCCUUUUCUUUUUGGGUGUAUCAAGCAUAUAGUCAAUAACAGGAAAAGUGAAAGGUUUUUAUGAGAGUUUUGCAUUAACAGAAAACCACCUAUCAAGUUUCUACACUGCAGCACUGUUGAUAUUUGAGCAAGACAACUCUUUGUGGUUGGAGGCUGCACUUGCACUGUAGGAUGUUUAAUGGCGUCCAUGACCUCUACGCACUAGAUGCUGGUAGCUUCCCUUCCCCGGCGGCGACAACCAAAAGUUGCCAUUGCAUUGCCAAAUGUCUCCUGGGGGGCAAAAUCGAGCCCUGGUUGAGAAGCGCUGUUCUCAAAAACAUCCUCCUGCCCCCAUCAUUGUCUUUGUGUGCUUUUUACCAUUUUAUUAAGGUAGACCAGAUGGUCAACUUCCCAACACCAAAUGCACAUGUAUGCCAGCAUAUAUGCGUGUCUCUUUGCAGGUAUCUGCAUGUUCCUGGAGCUGAGAUGGAAUUCCACGGUCACUGGAAGACAUUAGUUCAGUUCCUCAGCAAGUUUAAGGUCAAUAUAUCAGUACCGUAAUAAAAAAGCCUGUCUGUAUUCAAGCUGUUUCUUUUCCUCCAGCAGAAACCAUCGUCAAUAUUUGCAGUCAAUUUUUGAAGUCACUUUCUUUUAAAGCUGGAAAGAAUCCACCCUCAUCUUAAUCCACUAUUUAGAGUCCUACUUGAAUGAUAUUGCCAGCAACUUUCAACUUUGGAUCCAGAUUUCUUUAUUUGUAUCCACCAGGAAGAGAGGUACCACAUUUCUGAGUUCUUUUAUGAGCACUCGCUACAUAAUUUGCAAGGCCCAGUGCAAAGUGAAAAUGCAGGCCCCUUGUUCAAAAAUCAUUAAGAAUUUCAAGACAGCAACAGCAGAGCAUUAAAUCAAGCUUAGGGCCCUUCUGAACUCCUGGGCUCUGGGCAUACCCAUGACACCAGACCUAGCAGUCUUGGUUGGUGCUGCAUUGAUUUUGUUGUAUUAAUUUAAUUGGCACUGCCAUCUCUUUUGCCCCUGUAUCGCAGUGUUUCCUGUGGUGAGGACCUCAAAUAAUAAAAUACUGUGACCUCAAUUAGUUUAAAGAGAAUGCAAAAUUACACUGCAGCAAAUUUUUACAGCAUACAUAUUUUAGACUUUCAAAAAAAAAUCACAUGGGAAUCUUUUCUACAUCAUUAUAGUAAUUAAACAUGGUGGCCUUUCACCAUAUACAUAUUUUCCUGUAAAUACGACAACCUGGAACUAGUAACUGCUACUAUCCACAAUGCUUUUAAGUUAGCCAAGAGUGAGACUUCCACAACAAAAUUAUGACAUAAUCUCUCAUGUCCUUAUAAAAAUAGCCAAAACAUACCCUAAAUGGCUUACUGUGAAAAUUUGAGUAGUAACUUCUUAAUAUUGAAAAACAUUAUUUUCAUGGAAAUAUUGUCCUUCUACUAACUAUUUUAUGUUAACAUCAUAAGGCAAACUGUAGCAUUUAUUGGUACCUGGAGACCAUGAUUUUAAAAACUCAGAAGCUGAGUUUUAGACCCUUUUAUUUAGAACCUGUUAGUGUACAAAGUGCAUUAAAAUAUCCAUUAUCCAGUUACCCAAAAUGUAUGUAAAAAUUACUGAGACAACCCUUUCAGUUUAUUCAGAGAAGGCAAACACACAUUGCUUUUAUAUUGUAAU
ensembl:lncRNA